rnacentral:rRNA from 1 species
ACGAGCGCAACCCACGUCUUUAGUUACCAGUAUUUAGUUAGUGGACUUUAAAGAAACUGCCAAUGAUAAGUUGGAGGAAGGUGUGGAUGACGUCAAGUCCUCAUGGCCCUUACGGGUUGGGCUACACACGUGCUACAAUGGCAACAACAAUGGGCUAAUCCCCAAAUGUUGUCUCAGUUCGGAUUGUCCUCUGCAACUCGAGGACAUGAAGUCGGAAUCGCUAGUAAUCGCGUAACAGCAUGACGCGGUGAAUACGUUCCCGGGCCUUGCACACACCGCCCGU